CCUACGGGGGGCUGCAGUGGGGAAUAUUGCACAAUGGGGGAAACCCUGAUGCAGCAACGCCGCGUGAGCGAUGAAGGCCUUCGGGUCGUAAAGCUCUGUCCUAAGGGAAGAAUACUGACGGUACCUUAGGAGGAAGCCACGGCUAACUACGUGCCAGCAGCCGCGGUAAUACGUAGGUGGCGAGCGUUGUCCGGAAUUACUGGGUGUAAAGGGUGCGUAGGCGGGUAUAUAAGUCAGAUGUGAAAGCCCGGGGCUCAACCCCGGGACUGCAUUUGAAACUGUCUUACUAGAGUGCAGGAGAGGAAAGCGGAAUUCCUAGUGUAGCGGUGAAAUGCGUAGAUAUUAGGAAGAACACCAGUGGCGAAGGCGGCUUUCUGGACUGUAACUGACGCUGAGGCACGAAAGCGUGGGGAGCGAACAGGAUUAGAUACCCCUGUAGUC
rnacentral:rRNA from 1 species